CUGAUUUUUCUGAUCCCUAGAAAUCUUAUGAACCAAUUGUUUGGCACAGGAAGAAGAUGAUAACCAAUGCCAACUGACAUCUCAUAUCAACACUGCCUCUUAUUACCACAAACAUUAGAAAUGCUGUGGCACCCCUUGCAUCUCAGAGAGAAGACUUGUGGCUGAAAAAGAUACUUCAGUAUAUCCACUUUUUCCUCUUGGAAAGGAAAUCUAAAGACUUUUUGAAUCUUAUAUGCUAUGUUUCAAGGGGAGCAGAAGUUGGGUUAAAUAUUUUUUAAGAUUUAUGAAUUGAAGAUACUGUAUUGGAAACUGGGGGUAAAACUUUCAAAAGUGCCUAUGUCCCUUUUGGAAACUUUAACCUGUGUAUAUGCCUUUCUCACUACAUUCUACUAGACUCACUGAAGUUUGAUGGGUAAUGUUUUGUUUUUAAGAACGCAGACUAGGCCAAACCCAAGGAAGAGAGAGAGAAAAUCUAAAGAACAUGUCUGAUGUAUGAGAUGAUAGUACUAAAAUACUGCACCUAGCUCUGGGUACUUUAGUUCCCGAGACCUGUCAAACUGGAUUGGUUUAAAAAAAACCGGGGAAGAUGGUUAGAAGAAUAGUGCAAUUGGCUGGUAAGAAAAGAUUAAAUGAGCUAAAUAUGAGUUUGGCAAAGUUACAAGUAAGGUGGAGACAUUCAGUUCUUCAAGCAUUUGAAGACUGUAAACUCAAAGGAAUGCUCUUUAAUGAGGUAUUAUUAAGUAUAGUGGCAAGAAAUCAAAUAAGUUUAAAUGGAAUAUCAUUGAACUUUUUUUAAAAAAGA